rnacentral:misc_RNA from 1 species
UUGACUUCCCUCGAGCUCGCUCAGAGUGCCGACGAAAGGCGGGUUGCGGGGGGCCGGCGGCGGGCGCGGGGGCCCGCCGGGGCAACAGGGAGGCUGGUUCACAGGUUUUCAGAGGGUAGAGAACGCUCUGUAAUGAUCCCUCCGCUGGUUCACCAACGGAGA